CUUUGAAACAAUUAUAGUGGGAAGAGUUUUCUCUGCCCCAGUAAUGUUAUUUACUGACCAUUAUAAAAAUAGUUAUACAACAUUUUCAUUAAGAAAAGCAUCCAGGAACUUCCCAAAGUCUACUACAUUGAUUGAGAUGGUGUGGCCUUGAGGCAUGUGGCUCAGUUGUUGAGGGAGCAGUCCCAUGAGUAGAGAGAGGGUGCAGAAAGAUCCUGAGAUCCCAGAACAAGCAAGAGAUGUGUAUCAUCCUGCAGAGUGUCAAGGCAAGGCAUAAAACCAAACUGGUAUCUACCACAAGGAUUAUGGACACUCUGUAAGAAGAGUCAAACACUUGUCCCGCUGCUUUUACUGUGAUAUGUCCAUGAGGCAGAUUGUCAAGCUUUU